rnacentral:rRNA from 1 species
UACGAAGGGGGCUAGCGUUGUUCGGAAUUACUGGGCGUAAAGCGUGCGCAGGCGGUUGUGCAAGACAGAUGUGAAAUCCCCGGGCUUAACCUGGGAACUGCAUUUGUGACUGCACAGCUGGAGUGCGGCAGAGGGGGAUGGAAUUCCGCGUGUAGCAGUGAAAUGCGUAGAUAUGCGGAGGAACACCGAUGGCGAAGGCAAUCCCCUGGGCCUGCACUGACGCUCAGGUGCGAAAGCUAGGGGAGCGAACAGG